GGGGGCGGGGGGGGUCUUGCAAGUCAGGAGUGAAAGGCUACGGCGCAACCGUAGUAAGCUCUUGAAACUGGGAGACUUGAGUGCAGGGGAGGAGAGUGGAAUUCCUAGUGUAGCGGGGAAAUGCGUAGAUAUUAGGAGGAACACCAGUUGCGAAGGCGGCUCUCUGGACUGUAACUGACGCUGAGGCACGAAAGCGUGGGGAGCAAACAGGAUUAGAUACCCUGGUAGUCCACGCUGUAAACGAUGAGUACUAGGUGUCGGGGGUUACCCCCUUCGGUGCCGCAGCUAAC
rnacentral:rRNA from 1 species